rfam:Pan troglodytes isolate Yerkes chimp pedigree #C0471 (Clint) chromosome 12, whole genome shotgun sequence.
GCCGGGCGUGGUGGUGCACGCCUGUAAUCCCAGCUACUCAGGAGGCUGAGGCAGGAGAAUCGCUUGAACCCGGGAGGCGGAGGGCGCAGUGAGCCGAAAUCACGCCACUACACUCCAGCCUGGGUGAUAGAGUGAGACUCCGUCUCAG